AGCGAACGCUGGCGGCAGGCCUAACACAUGCAAGUCGAACGAACCUUUCGGGGUUAGUGGCGGACGGGUGAGUAACACGUGGGAACGUGCCUUUAGGUUCGGAAUAACUCAGGGAAACUUGUGCUAAUACCGCAUGUGCCCUUCGGGGGAAGGAUUUAUCGCCUUUAGAGCGGCCCGCGUCUGAUUAGCUAGUUGGUUGAGGUAAUGGCUCACCAAGGCGACGAUCAGUAGCUGGUCUGAGAGGAUGAUCAGCCACAUUGGGACUGAGACACGGCCCACACUCCUACGGGAGGCAGCAGUGGGGAAUCUUGCGCAAUGGGCGAAAGCCUGACGCAGCCAUGCCGCGUGAAUGAUGAAGGUCUUAGGAUUGUAAAAUUCUUUCACCGGGGACGAUAAUGACGGUACCCGGAGAAGAAGCCCCGGCUAACUUCGUG
rnacentral:rRNA from 1 species